AACUCGAACUGCGGCUGGGCCGCUCUCUCUUCACAAGCCUUGUUGUCCGACCAACAGCGGCGCCGUUUCGCGAUUAGGGUUUGCCAACUGGCUCCGAAUUGCAUCCUUCUGCUCGCUAUAUAGAGAUCGCAUGGCGUGCUCCAAACUAGUUUUCCGCUGCUAGGGGCGUUGGUAGAUCCGCAGCCUCGAUCUGAGCUCAGUCAUGGAGGCGCAGAUUUACUCCGCCGGGUUAACGUGGAGGCUGUUCUUCUACGAAUCUGUCUCUAAAAUCGCUCGCUACAUCUCUUCCACGAUUUUUAUCUUUCGAUCUCGUUCAUAGAAUGAAGUGUCUUCGAUGUGAGUUGGGCGAUGAUUAUACCUUACCCGCGCUUCUGACAUUAAAUCAUGAAGCAUACGGGGGAAAAAUGGUUGAAUUUCUUGAUAUGAGCCCGCGGUUGUAUAUUAUUGUUUUGGUUUCAGUUGGCGAUGAUGACUAACAUUACAGUUUCAACUAGCCAGUUCUGCUUCAGACAAAUAAUGAUCGAUGAAACUGUUCGAAACCUGAGCCUUUUCUGUUGUUUUCCUCCUUCGUUUCUAAAGCCCUCUGACGCAAAAUUAUAUCUUUUUUUUUCUCGAUUUUCGUCGGCAUUUCUCCUUUGAGAUAUAUUAUUUUGAAUUUGUUGUUGCAACAAGCACUGGAGUUGAUGAACUGGGAGAUUAGCAGCUGUUGUCAUCUUCGUCUCUCAUAGACGAUACCAUGAUUCCAUCGAGAAACAAUGCGGUUGAUAUCAGCAGCCCAUCGAAAGAAGAAAAAGUAAUUAAAAGCAUUGACUUGAUUCGACGAGUAAACAAGGAUGAAAUAAGACAGUAAUUAGUAGCUUGCAUCAGCGCUUGCGCUUUUUCUUCUCAGGCAGAACCAAGCCAAGCUCCCUGCAUUGCUGCUCAUCAGGUUUCAGGCUCUUUGGUAUCGCACCGAAUGCCCGCCUUGCCACCUCAAUUCCAGACAUUUUCUGAUGUAUGUAUGCAGAGGCAUUUUCCAUGUUCCUCUUCAGUUUCUUGGGCUUCAAAGAAGAUGAAAACGAACGCUUAGGGGUAGGAGUUCUAUCUGCAUCAUCAAUCUGGUCCAACUCUGCAGCAGCUAGAAAUCUCUGCGUGGCUGCUUCCCAAGAUAACUCAUGCCUCAGUUCAUCUGAUAAAGGAGAAGGCUCUUCGGCUAAUGCUUUGAGAGUUAGCUUGACAAAUUCCUCACCAUCAUUGUAAAUGUAGCAAUUAGGAAACUGCUUGAAGAAAUCAUUGGAAGGGUGGUUGGCACAAACAACAAUCUUUCCCAUCGCAAGGGCCUCUGCUGUGGUGGUACAAACCACAUCUGUCGUACUAGGAUUAAUAAACACCUUAUAACUGUCCAAAGAGAAAUUAAAAUCACUGUCAUCAUUGUCACUAGUAGUAAAAAUGCAAAUACAGUAAUCUAAUUUCUAGUU